UAGUAGUAGUAGAAGAAGAAGACGACAAAUACAACAAUAACAACAACAUCAUCAUGGUGAUGAGGUGUAUUUUAGGUUGUUCCCCUCCCCAAACCCUCUUCCCUAUCCCCAAAAUACCCUGGCUGCGUGCCCGCUGGCUCGAAUUUUUACACUUUGACGAAGGAGGGAUAACGGAAAACACGCGUUUGUGUGCGCGGCACUUUACGCAGGAAAGCUUCAAGAAUUUUAGACAGCAUGAAAUGGGGUUCGUCAAGCUUCUGCUCUUGUCAAACACGGCUAUCCCGUCUGUGUACACAGUCGGAGCGUCACCGAGUGUGAAGCCACCUACACGGGAUGUGGGUUGCCAGUGUUCCCCUAAAUCUUUAAAGAGCACCGCAGUGCAGGCGGCGCGCUCAAUCCCAAAGCCCAAACGACGGAGUAAAGGCAAAGUUAUAUUCAACUAAUUGGGUUGUGGGAGUUUUCUAUGUCUGUUCCACUGGUUUGAGGUUUAUUUGUGUUGAAAUUUCAGCGGUCCAGGUGAAACCUCCGUCCCUCUCUAUUGGUAUGUCCUGCUCUAUGGAGCAUCUUGGCACCGUCCUCGAUGUAACGUCUUCUCCAACGAGCAAAAGGCCGCGCAUUAAAGAAGAAGAGAUCGAUGAAACCUGGUCGAGCAGCACCGAGGAAUCCGCAGUAUCCGAUUUCACUUACGAGUCUGAUGUCAGUCAACAGGACAGUGAAACAUCACUCUUUGCUGCUCACUACUAUGAUGGAAGCGCAGAUUGGGAAUAUGUCAGUUGAAGAUUGCCAGAGUUCAAAAGGGUGAAUCCUUUUCAUCAGAAAAAUGGCAUAUACAACUAUGUGGACACCCUGCUGAAAACUCAUUUUGACGAUGUUCUCGGCACGGCCUGUACCAGCAUUAUAUGAAUGAACUGAAGGUCUUCCUUCAACAGGCCCGACCCUCCAGAAGCUGCAGCCGGACACUGGAGCUGCUUCUCAAAGCCUGACUUCACUGUUUCAGAUGAACAUUCAGUGUGAGAGGAAAAAAGUGUGUGUUCAUAGUGAGAAUGUACAGCAUGUGAAAAAAUGUUUCUUGAAAACAGUAAAGUUCUGCUCAAAUAUUUGUUUAAGGGAAUGUCUUGGCAAGAACUGAAUAUGUGUUCUGCAAAAUAAAAGUGCAGUUGUACAAAUUA